rnacentral:lncRNA from 1 species
GGCCCUGCUGGUCCAGGAGGAGAGACAGCUGCCUGCGAGCCUCCUGCAGGAGCUGCCGGAACAAGAACCUAGGAGCGACAGGCACAGGGUGGUUGGGAAGACCUUGUCCUGGCGAAGGCUGCUAUCAGGCGCCCACCCCACUGCCCCUCACCUCAGCAGGGCCCUGCGGGCGAUGACCAGGCCAUGGCAGUCGUGGAGCUGCUGGCCCGAGAACUCCAGCCAGCCAGCACAGCAGCUGCUGCCGGUGCCCAGAGCCACCAGCUUGUAGAUCUCCUUCACGUGGCCCCUGGCACGCGGGAUCUCUGUGCAGGAGGGGGCAGAGACGGCCCAGCCUAAGGCCCAGUAUGGCGAGCGCUCGUCCAACAGGAGGUCAAAGCCGGCGCUCACCAACGCUGCGCAGCGCUGCUCAUGGGUCAGGAUGUUCUCUGCGCCAGGGCGAGAGACUGCAGGAAGCCAAGGAGGCGGGGAGAGGAAGUUUUCAUCUUCCAGACACAGGACAUUACACGAGCUGCUCUUCUAGCGGUCCCUACCCCCGGUGUCCCCAGAGGACGUGAAAGCAGGGACCGGCACAUGUACCCCGCCCCAG